GCUGCUGCUGCUGUUCCUGCUACUGCAGCGGUUGCUGCUGCUGCAGCUGCAGCAGCAGCUGUCAAAGGGUUUAGGGUUUAGGGUUUUCUGUUUAGUCGGUACGGAAACUCUAAACCCUAAUA
rnacentral:snoRNA from 1 species